UACAACGUUUAAUUAUUAGGAUUAUCGAAGGGUCAUACAUAAUUUUGUGUCAUCUUCUAAACAAAAUCCCUAUUUUAUUUUCUCUGAACAAUCUGUUUUUUUUUGUCGUAUUCAGAUCCGUUAGACCCAGUUGAAUUCUAUAUUGCAAAACCCCCAAUUUUGCAAUUCUUCGAUGAUUGAAGCAAAAGAUGUCUUAAUAAAAUAGAUUCACUGAAGAAUGGAUCUGAUCCUAGUUUUUGGUUCAUACGACGAACGACCUCCUUGCCAAUUCCAUUAAUCGGGUAAGCUGGUUAUGAUUCUGUCAAUAAUCCCUUGAUAAUACAGUUAGCAUACGAAAGUUUCUCGAGAUUCGAAUUAGAAUAUUGUUUUUAAAAACAGUAACUGUUGCUCUACCUUAACUUUGUUUGAAAUAAUUCCCAAUUUUAGGCAGAUUAGUCAAAAUUUAAUCAUUGGAUAUGAUGAUAAGUGAAUAUUGAUCUGUAUUAUUUUUUACAAUAUUACAUGUUUAUGAUUUUAAGCAUCCGAUUGUUAAAAGAGGAUCAUAUAACGGAGAAGAAGACAUCUAAAAAGAAGAGGUAAUUAUAUAUGUAAGGUUACAAUUCGUUUUCGCCAUUUUUUUUCCUCAACUCCAAUAAACUUUUUAACUUACAAUUUUGUUCUGUGUUGAAUAUAUGAGCUCCAUUGACAUGGAUCCCGGAGGAGCCAUUUACAAAACUUAUAAGCAGCAAAAGUGCUUGAGGAGACAAAAUAAUGAAAACGGAAAAGAAGUUGCAAAUGAACAUAAACAUUAAACUUACUUGGAAUAUAAGACGUAUUCGAUAUUACCCUCCUUCUGAUCCAACAUUUUUCUUCCGGAUUCCAAGUAAAGAACUGAGGUAUAUCCUCAAACGUGAGUUCUCUUGCUUCAGCUGAGUGGAGCUAGAUUAGUUAUUGGAAAGUUUGCUGCCAUUUUGAAAGCGAUUCCCGCAGAAGGUUGGUGAGAUAUGUUCUUCAGUUUAAAAUCUUGGCUUGUAAACGGGUGAUCCAUUUCUAUAUCCAACUCUAUUUUUCGGAUUUUUUCACACCCGUAUCCGUUUACUUAAUUUCGGGUUAUUUUCACUUAAUUGACCCGAUCCAUUGUAGAUUUUGUACUUCUCUUUUAUUUAUAUAGAGAUUUGAUAGGACUUAAUCAAUGUAGUUGUACGUUUUUUAAAAAGAAAAACAAAAAAGUUAA